CCAUAUCAUUGCUGGUCUAGAAGUAAGAACCGCUUACGUCAGCGGCUGGGGGCGGGGUUACCGUGACCAACAAGACGAGAGAAACUUUGUGAUCCGCCAUUUUUCGAUAGCAGCUAAUCGAGCUAACAACAACACAAUGGACGCUACUAGGCAAAAACAGCACUGGUCAGACGAGGAAACAAGCUGCUUUCUUGCACUCUGGUCCUCUUCAGAAGUCCUGAGUAAGUUAGAUGGGGCUUCGCGGACGAAAACGGUUUUGCAGCAGAUUCAAAGAGAGAGAUGGCUGUAACUGGUUUUGACCGGAGCCUCGUCCAGAUAACAAACACACUAAAAAAACUAAAGAAAGACUGUGGGACCAAAAAAAGGACCUCGGCCGAAGCGGCAAUGGGCGCCCACGUCAAAAUCCAUAUUUCAACGUUCUCGACUGUGUUCUCGGCGAUAGGGCAUGCCAGGUGACCGGGGGCCUGAACUCGGCCACAAUAAUGCUCGAGUCAAUGCUGGAUGAUUCGCCGCAGCAAAGUUGCACUGAUCACGAACUGUCUGCCAUCAACGACCGUGAAGACAACGUUGAGUUGCCGCCACCGCUGGGCUGCAGCUCUCCCGUGCCGUCGUGGAGCAGCUCUGGAGAAGCAUCUUCAGAACGGGGAAAAAUGAAGAGGUGGUACCUCGGAAAUCAUUCAAUAUCUGGAAAGGGCAGAUGAGAGGUUCCUGCAGCACAGCAAGGCAAUGGAUGAUGCCUUGUGUCAGGACAUGAGAGCGGACACCCAAUCCCUGCUUGGACUCAUGGGGCGCACGGUGGCCGUAUUGGAGACACAAGUUAAAAAAUAAUUUUGGUUGCCGCUUUUCAUGUCUUUUUUUUUUUUUUUACACAAUUGUUACCUGCAGAACUUUAUUUUUUUAAAAGAUUUCUGUUGUUUUUUUUGGUUUAAAUAAACAUGUUUAGUAAUGCAAAUAGCUGGUCCAGUUUCUUAAACACUUAACAGGCAAAUAUUGUAUUAUGGUUUGUGUUUUUAAUGUAAUUUACUUUUAUAUAAAUGUGUACAUUAAACAGCCAAGUGAUGCGAUUAGCUGCAUAUACAAAUCUAUAUUAUUUCGACAUGAAAUAUGAUUAAAAUCCAAGUUACUUUAUGAUUGGUAGUUAAUAAAAACUUGGUUGGUUUUAAUCCUGGCCAGAAGUGUGAAAGGGUUGUUGAUUGAGGAUGAUUGAUAAAUGACAUUAUCUUUUCUAAUAAUAAUGGAUGUUGUGUUCUCGUGGAGAUGUUUUCCCCUGCAGUGGAUUUCUAACUGGUGUUGCAUUUUCCUAAGGUCUCCGUAUCAUUGCUGCUUUUUUCGCACAAACCUUCCUGUGGUUAUGGGGACAAAACCAGACUGUGAGGCUCGUAGGCGUGAGUUGUGGUUUUGGUGUAAGAGUGACCGUGUGAAGGGAUGGAUGACAGGGUGUGUGACUGAGGGUGGGUGUCCAUAUGACAUAUUAGUGAUACUAGAUGUGGCAAAAAAAGGGUGUGGAAGAAUACAACUGAGAAUACUGGGAGAGUGUUCAUAUGACAUUUGGGAGGCUACAGUAAACAAUGGUGCAAGACUUCAACUGACACUAUGCUUGACUUAGAUUCAGACACAGAUCCAGAGAGUAAGUACUUCAACAAUGGGAGAAAUUGUGACUACUACACGGAAAAUCAGUUCAACGAAAAGUUUGGAUCAGAACACAAUAUAAAGAUAAUACACUUCAAUAGUAGAAGCCUUUACGCUAAUUUUUGCAAGAUUAAAGACUACCUAGACCAGUUCACCUCACCUCACCAGUGUAAUCGCAAUCUCGGAGACCUGGAUUAGUCUGGAGAAAGGGGUGGAAUUUGAGUUGGAUGGUUAUAAUCUGAAUUAUGUAAACAGAGGCAACAAAAGGGGAGGGGGAGUUGCACUUUAUGUUGAUAGAAGACUUAAGUACAAGAUUGUUGAAAGUAUGACGGCUGCAAUUGAUGAUAUAUGUGAAUGUAUUACUAUUGAAAUAGAUAUGGGGAAAAGGAAGAACAUCAUUGUCAGCUGUGCAUACCGGGCUCCCAACAAUAGCAUAGAGAAGUUCAAGGAGGUGAUGGAGAGUAUGGCUACAAACACCGAGCAAAAGGUAACUUUUCUCUGUGGCGAUUACAACAUCGAUCUUCUGAAUCCUAACAAACUAACACCGAUAGAGAAAUUCAUGGAUGCAAUGUACAGCAGAAGCUUGUAUCCUAUUAUUACUAAACCUAGUCGAAUUACAGUCCACUCUGCAACACUUAUAGAUAAUAUUUUUACUAAUAACCUAAUAGAUAAUAUAGAAAGUGGAUUAUUAUUAAAUGAUAUUAGUGACCAUCUGCCGGUGUUUGCAAUCUACAGCGGUACACCUAGGUUGGCUGAAAGGAAUGAAAUGAUAGAAAGGAGAUUAAGAACGGUUGACAAUCUAAACAAGUUCAGAAAUGAAUUAAGUGCACAAAACUGGAGAAAGGUUUAUGAGGCAGAGGAGGUUGAUUAUGCUUAUGAUUCCUUCCUGCAAACUUUUCUGAUGUUAUAUGACAGAUGCUGUCCAAUUCAGCAAAGCAGAAAACGAGCAAAUCGCUCAGAUAAACCUUGGCUUACAAAGGGUCUGUUGAACGCCUGUAAAAAGAAGAACUUCUUAUAUAAAGAGUUUAUCAAGAAUAGAAAUAAGGAGAAAGAAAUGAAGUAUAAAAGAUAUAAAAAUAAAUUAACUGAUAUUAUGCGAAAUUGUAAAAAGGAUUAUUAUUGUAAACUACUAGAUAAAAAUAAAAAUAAUAUAAAGGAAACAUGGAAGAUCUUAAAUUCAAUUAUAAUAAAUCAAUCGACCAGCUCUGGAUUGCCAGAAGAAAUUCUAGAUAAUGAUAAGAUUAUUAAUGACAAAAAGGAGAUGGUAGAAGGCUUCAAUAAAUUCUUUGUAAAUGUGGGCCCUAAACUAGAAGAGCAGAUAAACCUUCCUCAAGGGGGAUGCGUAGCACAUUAUUUGGGCAAGAGGAACCCAGAUACUAUCUUUCUGAAAGACACCGAUAAAAAUGAAAUUAUUGCCAUAGUUAAUAACUUCAAAAAAAAAACAUCAAGAGACUGGAAUGGUAUUGAUAUGACAAUAGUAAAAGAAGUCAUUAUUAAUAUAGCAGAUCCCCUAGCACAUAUCUGCAAUGUUUCACUUCAAACGGGCUUCUUUCCAACCAAAA
ensembl:lncRNA